AAUAGAUCUUAUUGUGAAUUAUUCAUCCAUCCAUUGUCCUUGUAAUGUUUAAUCAAAAUGUCAUAACUGGAUCUUCAUUGAAAAUGACAGACUUCUCUCUGGUGAUAAAUGCAGGAUUUUUCCAAUCAUGUGGUUCGCUUAAACCCCGCCCCUGCAAUCUCACAUUCAUCUGCCUCCAUUUUUGAGAUCAAUGCCCAUAUUUCAAAACAUAAUCAACAAUCGAAGUCUCUGCCUUUUUUUUAAAUAAUUUGUUACACUCGGAUGUAUGUCACACUAUGGAAGAAAAGAUUUGUCGCUAUUUCCAUAUCAUCAAUGCUGCGUCCGAAAUCCCGUACUGUCUGAGUUCAAACGGGAGGAGGGGCUGGAUCUAGGGUUUCACUCCUUCUCUGGCUUGAGGGCUAGCAGGCAGCUAUUGAGAGGCAUAAUCCAACCCUCAACCCGAGUGAAGUUUUAAACCCCUUCGGGAUGUGCCAUGGAGGAUUCGAUGGCUGGCCGAGGGAGAGCAUUACGUCGGGGUAUUUAACACCGCGGAGAGUUGGAUACGAGGGGGCUUAAUGAUGCCGUAGCAGUCGGGAUGAGCGCUAAUUCACCGCCCAGGGCCCGUGACGGAUGGGGCACCUGCAGAGCCAGCCAUCAGUCAGCUUACCCACCCUCGACACGUCCCAGGAGGGGCUCCGUAUCCCUCCGACUCAUGGAGCUCCGCCACUCUCCACAAAAUGGCCUCAUAAUGACAGACGAGUGCGUGAGGCAGAUGGCCAAAGUUCCGCCAGAGGCGAAAUUCCACAUGGCAUCCUCUUCCAACAACAGGGGCCACAGACUGUGGACGGAGCGAUGCUCCCAGCCGGGGGUCUACAGAUCUCUCCCGACCAAGACGUGGCCACCUGGGACACAAGACAAUUCUGCACAUAAAGACACGACAUAAAGACUUGGAGGUAAGUGAACAGGGUGGCCUAACACAACAACAACUGCCUAACUGCCCAUGUGCAAAUAAUGCUUUUCUAAGAAAACUCUGGCCUAAUUAAGAGGCUAGAGAGGGUAACUAAACAAAAGUGUCUCAAUUACCUGAAAGAUAUGCCUUUCAUCUUCAAUUUUUCCUUCAAGUCAUGCCAGGUGCAUUAACACCUUUCUAUACAGACAACAGGGGUGCCAUCUUAAAAUAACAAGACUCUCUUCUCUACUCCAUUCAACCGCCACAAGCAAUUUCGCUGGAUUAACCGGCGGGUUUCUCUGGUGGCUUUGAGUGCUGAAGAAAGUGAUUUGUUUUCCUGCUUCUAAUCAGAAGGACGUGUAUUAAAGCACAAUAAGUGACUGCCGUUGGCUGAGGUCCAGCAUUGUUUACAGCUAAAAGGUCCUUGAGCUAGCAAAUGAAUUAGCCUGCCAAUGGGUGGUUUUGGCCUUCCAACAGGUUGCAACAACAGCGGCUUUUGUCAAAGAUAUGAAAUUAUCAGAAGGGCCCAGCUAUUUGCCGAUUUUUUGUUGUUCAAGAGUUCAAAAGGUAAUCCAAUUGAUUCUAAGCGAGGCAAACACUACCAUAGGCAGCCAUAUUGUUUUAAUGGAUUAAAGGGGCCACUAUUUUCAUGCCAUUUUGAAGGGAAUAAUUUGAUGUGUUUUGUUGAGCUCAUUGUGUUUUGAUAAAGACAGAGGUUGGAUUAAAUGCACAAGCCUGAGCCUCUGAUGAGUAAUCGGGGGGAAUGCAGUGCUUUGUGAAAGCAGACACUUGCUCUAGUUUCACCACGCUGCCACCCAGACAGUCUUAAGUGUAGAGUAAAUAGAAAAGUAACACUAGAAUUCACCCGCAGAGGAACAAAAUAAACUCUAGAAAGCAACAUGUGCCAAACCUAAACAGGACGGAAAGAUUGGAAACCGUUGCAGACUCACCGAACGCCAAUUGGUUCGGCAUGGUGAAAGGCGAGGGAAAGGGUUAACCUGAGAGCAUCUCAUGGGACGAUCGAACGAUGCCAGCGCGUGAUCCCCUACUCCAGCCAGCGCUUUGAUAGAGCGCUUUCUCUAAACUCCACAGACGAGAGCAAUUACUGUAAGAGAAGCAUGAUUAUAGGUCUGCCAUAUCCACACAGGCCUGGCAUUUUGCUGCUUUACAUGCCGGGGGUUUCAAAAGAAGAAAGACAGAGGACAGUAUAAAGCAAAGGGGAUGAAAGGCAGCAGGGGAAAGAGAGAGACCCUGGGGAACAAAUAUCAAUAUUGUAGGAUGCAUUUCAGCUUAAAGCGGCUAGAGCCAUCACUCUGGCAGGGUGGAAUGUCUAGGGCCUGCUCUGCGACCGUUAGCAUGUGAAAUUGGGUAGACUUAAAACCCCCUAAACAAGGGGAUCAACACGCAUUCGUCAAGCUGUGCCACCCGCCUGCGCACACCAGCGCACGCAAUCUCCAUAGAGCGCUCCGGUCCUUCCGAACGCACUCCGCCACGCUUCCUACCUUCAAUAGCAACAAACAGCCCCUCCAUAGACUGUCACCGGGCUUUAAUUUCACUCUUAAAAGCUUCUCCCCCACCUCUCCGCAUGAUCCACAAACUUUGUAUUAUUCAACCGCUGGCCCCUAAUCCUCCCGAGCUAACAGAGGGAAAAAUUAGCUUUUGUUAAGUGGUGAUUUCUCCUACUAAAUGGCAACACCCUUCUGUGGGAAAUAUUCCAGGCUUGAGAGGCUUCAUUAGACGGUUCGGAUUUAAACCGGCGAGAUGGACUAAUUCCCUCAGACGCGCCGUGUCAAAAAGCCUGAACGGCCCAGGAGAAUGUGCAAACGCUGGGAGGAACCUGUGCUAACCUGGUAAUCCCAUCCUGUCCACUGCUUUCUACACCCGCCCCAUUGUUUGCGGCGCCAAUCCACUUUUGCCAAAGCGGCUUUAGAGGGAGGUAUACAGGGACUGCCAUCUAGGCCUGCUUAGACCCAGCCUGAGGGGCUUACAAUGCGCUCUCGUCCCCGGCAUCUCCCCCGCUUUACAAAUUUAAAUCUUCAUGGAGACUAGUUCACAAAACAAACACUGUCAGUCUGAUGGAGCCUCUGUAACGAUAUGCAAAAGGCGAGCCGGGAAGGUGCUCAGUUUUCCUGAAUAGCGCCGCAGAUUUCAAACCUGCAGGAGGAGGACAGGGCUAAACAAAUGAAGAUAAAUACGAAAUACCACCAUAUACAAAUUUGGUUUUGAGAAGUGGCUUCAACUCUAAAAUGUUAAGAGGAUUUAAAAGCUGUUGGUUACCUUGAAUAAUUCCGCACGAGCAAUGCAGGAGAAAUCUGUGUGGAGUGUACAUCUCUGCUGACAAUAAAAGAAACAGAAAAAUAAAUAAAACAAAGGACAGCAUGAGGGCGAAAGCCACCAGCGUGUGCACAGAGCUUUGCCAGCUCUCACAGUCCAAAUUAGUGACAAGUUUAUUCCCUGCCUGUGGUCGGGAGAGACUAAAAUCCCGCCAUACGACAGCCACAAAGUGGCACAGGGACUGUUUGAUGUCUUCAUGUGGGAUAUAGUAACCUCUUAAAGCUUGUACACAGUCCAGAGCACACAAGAUUACACUCUCGCAAUUACAGUAGGAGGGUAUUGUUUACUUCUUUACAGAUCGCUGGGAAUUCUUUCAGUCCCUCGCCUUUGUCAAAAAACGAUAAAUUGCAAAUGAUAAAAUUAACUGAAAUUCAAAUAACUCUAAAUUCUAGAAAAUGGUUAGUCAAAGUCUUGAUUACACCUAUUGAAAUUUGUAUUUAGUUAAUAUACAUCAUUAUAUUUAAUAAAUUAACAUUUGUGUACAUAUAUUUUCCAAAAUAUGAGCUGAAUUACAAUCCAGUCAAUUUCUCUUCCUGUCAUCCUCCAAUUCAGUUCAAAAUCCAACUGACAAAUCGAAAGGGAGCCAAAAAAAUCAAAAUUUGGCCCAACUUUGCUUUCCUAAAUUAAUAAUUUAUUUCGACUUAUUUUAACAAUAUAUCUUCUUUCUCAAGAAAUCACUUGCUAUGACGUUUAAAGUCUCAAUUGAUGCAUGUAACAUGAGCAGGAUGAUUGACUGGCUAUGAUUAGCUUGCCCUUGAGGGUUUAGCUUCGUUGUAGGUUUUUCUCGGCCAUUAUCACAACACUGAUGGCACACAUGGCAGCAUUUAGAAAGCGCCAGGCUUCAGGUAUGCCAGAGCCGUCACACACUCUGUGCAUUGCAGCAUAGCACUCAUAUGCUGAGCGUCUGUUGGCUCAAAAACACAUCUCUUUGUUUUGGAUCCAGCCCCAGAAUCCUCAUGCUGGUAAAAGUUGUGUUUAAUUCUGUCGCUAUAUCAAAAUGACAAGGAGACCACCAGAUUCUGAAAAAGAAAAGGAGAAAAAGAAACACACACAUGCACACUUGCUAGCAAAGGGCAUUCACUCAUACACACACACAACCGGACACACACACAUGCACAAGCACACGGUGUCGUGUGAUGCCUUUGCCAAACCACAAGCGAGGGGCCAAAAUUCCAUAGGCAAAUGCUUGAACCCAGCAGGGCUCUGACAAAGGGAAAAGAAAAAUCAGUGGAAAGGUAACGUUAGUGAAAAGUGUACAAAUUGAUGUGCUUAAAUUAAGGCAAAUCCCUAAGGACUGAAUAAAUGGAGCUCAUUUCAAAGGUAAAAUACUGAGUUAUUAAAAAACACACACGAGCAAGGAAAAAGACACCGCAUUUAGAAACAUUUUAUCAGGAUUGCAAGGAGGAAAAGAUCACAGAAGCCGACGCUAAGUAAACUGAGAAAAGAAAGCGAAUCGUAAACAUGUUACUUAAUUGCAUCCUAGCAAUAAGACAGAUUAAACCAAUCAGGUGUGAGAAUAAAAAAGGGAGGAGGAAGAAAAGAGGAAGAUUUGAAACAAAAUUAAAAAUUAAGAAGGUAAACGGUCACAUUUUUGUUUCUAUUCUCACAACGUCCUCCAUUCAGAUGGCAAAGAAACCGAAGCCCUCGAUUGCAGAGAACAGUCGUCUUGUUUAGAAAUAAAUAGGCCAAACAAUAGAUUUGAAAUGCCUGUCUGCCGUUGAAGGGCUGUUUUCUUCUGCUUGCUUUAUGACGUUUCAUUACAUAGAAAGCCGUUUAAAUGACUGCUCUUUUUCUUAGACCAAUUACAGGAGAUAUCUGAGACAACAGCAAGUGAGCUAUGCAAUAAAGAGGCCCGCACAAACACACAAAUGUGCCAUAUCCUCUUUCUCUCCGGUACAUCCGACGCCAUCUCCUUCUGAACCACCCCCCAAAACACAAAUACGCAAACACACACUCACUCAUACACACACACACACACACACACAAAUCCCCACAUCCACAAGCGCCACCGCCACCAAUCACAGCCCUGACGCCAGGACAUCAAUUCUCGCAAGUCGCAGAAAAUUACCAUGCAUGAAUGCAAAAAAGCCUGAUCAGGAGUAAUUAACACGGCUUCAUAUGCAAAUUUUAUUAAUGCAGAACUACAAAGUCAUUAUGCAAAUGCAACUUUCGUCAAGCCUCUUGACAAAUAUUCAGAGCUCCAGCCAAAGAACAGGUUUUCUCUCUCUCUCUCUCUCUCUCUCUCUGUCUCUCUCUCUCUCUCUCUCUCUCUCCAACUCUGUACUUUUUUCCAAGGCAUAGAGAAUGUAUAACAAGUAUGUUAAGUUAUUUCGAACUUGGGAAAUCUUUUUUUUAUAUUCUUAUGGAAGUUUAAAUCUUAGCAGUAAGGCGAUGAUGGCCAGGCAUCCGCAAUUAAAAAGCUGGCUCUUGGUAAUGACUGUUUGGCUUUGGAGCGAGGUAAUGAACCUGUAAUUCUGGGGGAAGCGUGGGGGGGGGGAUGCGGAUAUGAAUAUGCAUGAGGCUCACUGCCUUUGAUGAUUAAAGAAAAUUUUAAUAUUUAAAUGAGUGCAUGCAAAGUGAUUAACUGAAAAAAGCAACGAGGCAAAAAUCUGAAAAGGAUUUCAAGAUGCUGAGAAGAACAUGGAUGCAGCUUUCCUUUUUUAUGGUCUAUUAAUGACUAAAACUGUUUUCUCUCGUUCUUUCACUCUCUCUCUCUUUCUCUCUCGUUUUCGGCUUCUCACUCCUCCUGGCUUUUCCUGUUCUUGCUGCUGCUGGACACAACCCAAAUGCGAGGAUUUGGAAGGCAUUUCAAAAGCCAAGUAAAGGUAGCACUUUCCUGAAUUUUGAAGUAGUGGAUUAAACACACAGGAGGGAAGAAAUUAAAGUCUGGUUCACCAAAGGGGAUGGCUUUGGCAGCAUGUAAGGCCAUGUUAUAACUACGGAGGAUGGUUCGACAUGCACCGCAGAGGGACACGUAAUCAACCGCAGAUUAACAGAGAUGUUGCUAAAACCAGACACUCUACUUUACAUGAUGGCCACAAAACUAAUGGCUUUAAAUAUAUCAUUGAAUAUAUUUUUCAAGCUUGAUUUCAUGUCGCUCUAAACGAUAUUUAAAAUGUAAAGGCUUAGAAUGCUGUUUAAGUCAGUAAACAAACUAUUAAUGCAUAUUUCAAUGUGGAUAAUUUUAAAUCCAAAUCUUAAUCCAGAGGAGAACUGCACUGUAAAACUGAACAGUGAAAUUAAUUAAAUGAAAUUAGUUUGUUUCACUCAAAUAAUAAUGAAAGUUCAUUGUACUUAAUAGAAAAAAGUUGUGUGAACUCAAAAUUUCAU